rnacentral:rRNA from 1 species
GAGAUGGAUUGGUGCCUUCGGGAACUCUGACACAGGUGCUGCAUGGCUGUCGUCAGCUCGUGUCGUGAGAUGUUGGGUUAAGUCCCGUAACGAGCGCAACCCUUGUCCUUAGUUACCAGCACGUUAUGGUGGGCACUCUAAGGAGACUGCCGGUGACAAACCGGAGGAAGGUGGGGGAUGACGUCAAGUCAUCAUGGCCCUUACGGCCUGGGCUACACACGUGCUACAAUGGUCGGUACAAAGGGUUGCCAAGCCGCGAGGUGGAACUAAUCCCAUAAAACCGAUCGUAGUCCGGAUCGCAGUCUGCAACUCGACUGCGUGAAGUCGGAAUCGCUAGUAAUCGUGAAUCAGAAUGUCACGGUGAAUACGUUCCCGGGCCUU